AGUGAACGCUGGCGGUAGGCCUAACACAUGCAAGUCGAACGGCAGCACAGUAAGAGCUUGCUCUUACGGGUGGCGAGUGGCGGACGGGUGAGGAAUACAUCGGAAUCUACUUUUUCGUGGGGGAUAACGUAGGGAAACUUACGCUAAUACCGCAUACGACCUACGGGUGAAAGUAGGGGAUCUUCGGACCUUGCGCGAUUGAAUGAGCCGAUGUCGGAUUAGCUAGUUGGCGGGGUAAAGGCCCACCAAGGCGACGAUCCGUAGCUGGUCUGAGAGGAUGAUCAGCCACACUGGAACUGAGACACGGUCCAGACUCCUACGGGAGGCAGCAGUGGGGAAUAUUGGACAAUGGGCGCAAGCCUGAUCCAGCCAUACCGCGUGGGUGAAGAAGGCCUUCGGGUUGUAAAGCCCUUUUGUUGGAAAAGAAAAGCAGCAGGUUAAUACCCCGCUGUUCUGACGGUACCCAAAGAAUAAGCACCGGCUAACUUCGUG
rnacentral:rRNA from 1 species